rnacentral:rRNA from 1 species
UACGUAGGGUGCGAGCGUUGUCCGGAAUUAUUGGGCGUAAAGAGCUCGUAGGCGGCUUGUCACGUCGGAUGUGAAAGCCCGGGGCUUAACCCCGGGUCUGCAUUCGAUACGGGCAGGCUAGAGUGUGGUAGGGGAGAUCGGAAUUCCUGGUGUAGCGGUGAAAUGCGCAGAUAUCAGGAGGAACACCGGUGGCGAAGGCGGGUCUCUGGGCCGUUACUGACGCUGAGGAGCGAAAGCGUGGGGAGCGAACAGG